UACCUAAUCACCGGUAGCCUAAGGGGCUGU
rnacentral:sRNA from 1 species